AUGUGGAUGUAGAACUCUCAGAUACUUCUCCAGCACCAUGCCUGCCUAUGUGCUGCCAUGUACUCACCACAAUGAUCAUGGAUUAAACCUCUGAAACUGCAAGUAAGACACAGACUUGCUGCAGGAAGCCCUACUACUUCUGAUGCUGACACAAUGGAUUCCUUCAGAGCUAAGUGAUACUCACAGAGAGUUUUUCUGCCUGUUUCUUGACUUGAUCUGCAUCCAUGGAUAACUUCCUAUUCAAAUUCAUAAUCUGAAGAGAAUAGUCUUGAUAGAGUUUCUGCCUGUGAAUGAUAGCAAUGAACAGUGUGAUAUUCCAUCACAAUAUGAGGAAAGUGCAUUUGAAGUACAACUGACUUGCCCUCACUAACACUGUCGAUGGAGGACGGGGAAAUGGCAGUUAAAAUAUUCUGACAGAGAAAAGGAAGCCCAUGUGGAUUAUUUCAUCUGACACUGACAGUAUUUGUUCCUCCCUGGCUGAGAGAGAAGUCACUUCAAAUACCUUAGCUCUAGAAAACUUACGGAGAAUUAUCAUUAGUAUUCUAUUAAUAUUCCACAAGCAUUCACCUUCCUGACACACACAGCUUCUCCUUUAUUUCCUCUUUCUGGAGAACAGACCCAAUGAGCAUGCACAUCCACUACCAUCAGAGAAUUCUGUGGAGGCCUACCCACUCUUCCUCACGUUGUGCCAGUGAGGAUUUCGGUACAGUAGCAUAGUAAACCCUGCUCCUGCAAUCUAUAUGACAUUGGAGGCAUGAGAUUUUCAUUUAUAUCACAUGGAACAGAUGAUCGACUGACUGCAGGAUGAAUGCUUUGCAGAUUUCUAGCUCAUCAUGCUCAGCACAUUCAUGAGAUGCAUACACCGUCCUUACUGUUGCACUGAUUCAGCUGCAUGUGUCAAAGCAGUCAUGGUAAUUCACCCCUAGUAAAUGCAGCUGACUUCGGCUAUGAUGUGAGGCUAUAAUAAGACUAAAGGGAGUCUAUUCUUUGAGAGAAAUGAAGCCAAAUACAUUUUCCAACUGAGCUUCUGGCCAGUGGGGGUCACGGCUAUUCCUCAACCUCUUGUCAUCAUGCUUACCAACCAAAUGUCAAAGGGUCUGGGAUCAAAGCACCCAGAAGCAGCAACCGUACCUUUGUUCACACUGGAUUUUUAGGACAUCCUCAACUUUCUGCUCCAUGGUUUCGAAAGACGCCAUGAUGAUCGCUGUGAAUCUUUCUCUGUUUCCCUGAAGAAAGUUCUUAAUGGGCUCUGUAUUGAAAUACAAUCUUGUAACAAUUACUGUAAAGUUCCCUCAAUGUUAGUUUUCUACUUGGAAAGACACUUGUUUUCAAUAGAUGUAAACAAUCUGUCAAUGAUAA